GCGUCGGUAGUGCAUUGGUUCGAGCACGCGCCUCCGCAUAGGGUGAAGUAUGGGUUCAAUUCCCACCUGACGCA